rnacentral:rRNA from 1 species
UACGUAGGGUGCGAGCGUUGUCCGGAAUUAUUGGGCGUAAAGAGCUCGUAGGCGGUGUGUCACGUCGGCCGUGAAAACUUGCAGCUUAACUGUGGGCGUGCGGUCGAUACGGGCAUCACUGGAGUUCGGCAGGGGAGACUGGAAUUCCUGGUGUAGCGGUGAAAUGCGCAGAUAUCAGGAGGAACACCGGUGGCGAAGGCGGGUCUCUGGGCCGAUACUGACGCUGAGGAGCGAAAGCCAGGGGAGCGAACGGG